rnacentral:rRNA from 1 species
CCUACGGGGGGCAGCAGUGAGGAAUAUUGGUCAAUGGACGAGAGUCUGAACCAGCCAAGUAGCGUGAAGGAUGACUGCCCGAUGGGUUGUAAACUUCUUUUAUAUGGGAAUAAAAUGUUCCACGUGUGGGAUUUUGUAUGUACCAUAUGAAUAAGGAUCGGCUAACUCCGUGCCAGCAGCCGCGGUAAUACGGAGGAUCCGAGCGUUAUCCGGAUUUAUUGGGUUUAAAGGGAGCGUAGGUGGAUUGUUAAGUCAGUUGUGAAAGUUUGCGGCUCAACCGUAAAAUUGCAGUUGAAACUGGCAGUCUUGAGUACAGUAGCGGUGGGCGGAAUUCGUGGUGUAGCGGUGAAAUGCUUAGAUAUCACGAAGAACUCCGAUUGCGAAGGCAGUUCACUGGACUGCAACUGACACUGAGGCUCGAAAGUGUGGGUAUCAAACAGGAUUAGAUACCCCAGUAGUC